GACGAACGCUGGCGGCGUGCUUAACACAUGCAAGUCGAACGGAAAGGCCCUGCUUUUGUGGGGUGCUCGAGUGGCGAACGGGUGAGUAACACGUGAGUAACCUGCCCUUGACUUUGGGAUAACUUCAGGAAACUGGGGCUAAUACCGGAUAGGAGCUCCUGCUGCAUGGUGGGGGUUGGAAAGUUUCGGCGGUUGGGGAUGGACUCGCGGCUUAUCAGCUUGUUGGUGGGGUAGUGGCUUACCAAGGCUUUGACGGGUAGCCGGCCUGAGAGGGUGACCGGCCACAUGGGGACUGAGGUAGGGCCCAGAGUCCUACGGGAGGCAGCAGUGGAGAAUAUUGCACAAUGGGCGGAAGCCUGAUGCAGCAACGCCGCGUGCGGGAUGACGGCCUUCGGGUUGUAAACCGCUUUCGCCUGUGACGAAGCGUGAGUGACGGUAAUGGGUAAAGAAGCACCGGCUAACUACGUG
rnacentral:rRNA from 1 species